rnacentral:rRNA from 1 species
CAGUAGCCGCGGUAAUACGAGGGGUGCAAGCGUUAUUCGGAUUGAUUGGGUGUAAAGGGUGUGCAGACGGCUUAUUAAGUCAUUUGUUAAAUUCUUCGGCCUAACUGAAGGUCUGCAAGUGAUACUGAUGAGCUAGAGGGUGGAAGAGAGAAGUGGAAUUCUCGGAGUAGCGGUAAAAUGCGUAGAUCUCGAGAGGAACACCAAUGGCGAAGGCAGCUUCUUGGUCCAUUCCUGACGUUCAUACACGAAAGCUAGGGGAGCAAAUGGGAUUAGAUACCCGUGUAGUCCCUGUCUCUUAUAC